CAGCGGCGAACGGGUGAGUACACGUGGGUGACUUGCCCCGAAGAUGGGGAUAACCUCGGGAGACGGNGGCUAAUACCCAAUGUGCUCGGUGAUUCGGUUCAUCGAGUAAAGCUCCGGCGCUUCGGGAGAGGCCUGCGGCCCAUCAGCUAGUUGGUAGGGUAACGGCCUACCAAGGCAGAGACGGGUAGGGGGCGUGAGAGCGCGGACCCCCACACUGGCACUGAGAUACGGGCCAGACUCCUACGGGAGGCAGCAGUAAGGGAUAUUGCGCAAUGGACGAAAGUCAGACGCAGCGACGCCGCGUGGGCGAUGAAGGCCUUCGGGUUGUAAAGCCCUUUUAUGGGGGAAGAGAAAAAGGACGGUACCCCAGGAAUAAGUCCCGGCUAACUACGUGCCAGCAGCCGCGGUAAAACGUAGGGGACAAGCGUUAUCCGGAUUCACUGGGCGUAAAGAGCGUUGAGGCGGUUCCGUAAGUUGGGCGUGAAAGCUCCGGGCUUAACUCGGAGAUGUCGUUCAAUACUGCGGGGCUUGAGGACAGCAGAGGAAGGUGGAAUUCCCGGUGUAGUGGUGAAAUGCGUAGAUAUCGGGAGGAACACCCGUGGCGAAGGCGGACUUCUGGGCUGUUCCUGACGCUGAAGGCGAAAGCUAGGGGAGCGAACGGGAUUAGAUACCCCGGUAGUACUAGCUGUAAACGAUGGAUGCUAGGUGUGAGGGGUGUAAAUUCCCAUUUGUGCCGAA
rnacentral:rRNA from 1 species